GCCCUAGUAGCUUAAUUAUUAAAGCGCCGGUCUUGUAAUCCGGAGAUCGAAGGUUAAAAUCCCUCCUAGCGCC
rnacentral:tRNA from 1 species